rnacentral:rRNA from 1 species
ACAAGCGUUGUUCGGAUUUACUGGGCGUAAAGGGCGCGUAGCGGACUUCAAGUCGGAUGUGAAACCGCGGCUUAACUGCCGCUGCAUUCGAUACUGUUGGUCUGAGUACGUGAGAGGAAGCGGAAUUCAGGUGUAGCGGUGAAAUGCGUAGAUAUCUGGAAGAACACCAGUAGCGAAGGCGGCGUCUGGCGUGAUACUGACGCUGAAGCGCGAAGGCUAGGGGAGCAAACAGGAUUGGAUACCCUGGUAGUCCUAGCGGUAAACGAUGGGUACUAGGUGUCGGAGGUAUUGACCCCUUCGGUGCCGCAGCAAACGCAUUAAGUACCCCGCCUGGGGAGUACGGUCGCAAGAUUGAAACUCAAAGGAAUUGACGGGGGCCCGCACAAGCGGUGGAGUAUGUGGUUUAAUUCGAGGCAACGCGAAGAACCUUACCUGGGUUUGACAUGCUUGAGACAUCCGGUGAGAGCCGGCUUUCCCUUCGGGGACUCUUGCACAGGUGCUGCAUGGCUGUCGUCAGCUCGUGCCGUGAGGUGUUGGGUUAAGUCCCGCAACGAGCGCAACCCUUGUCCAUAGUUGCCAUCAGGUUAUGCUGGGGACUCUAUGGAGACUGCCGGUGAUAAGCUGGAGGAAGGUGGGGAUGACGUCAAGUCCUCAUGGCCCUUACACCUAGGGCUACACACGUACUACAAUGGUCGGUACAGUAGGUCGCAAUACCGCGAGGUGGAGCUAAUCCUCAAAACCGGCCUCAGUUCAGAUUGGAGUCUGCAACUCGACUCCAUGAAGGAGGAAUCGCUAGUAAUCGCUGAUCAGCAGGCAGCGGUGAAUACGUUCCCGGGCCUUGUACACACCGCCCGUCAAGCCACGGAAGUUGGGAGCACCCGAAGUCGUUUGCCUAACCGCAAGGAGGGCGGCGCCUAAGGUGAUACUGGCGACUGGGGCUAAGUCGUAACAAGGUA